rnacentral:rRNA from 1 species
AUUGAACGCUGGCGGCAGGCUUAACACAUGCAAGUCGAGCGGAGAUGAGGUGCUUGCACCUUAUCUUAGCGGCGGACGGGUGAGUAAUGCUUAGGAAUCUGCCUAUUAGUGGGGGACAACAUUCCGAAAGGAAUGCUAAUACCGCAUACGCCCUACGGGGGAAAGCAGGGGAUCUUCGGACCUUGCGCUAAUAGAUGAGCCUAAGUCGGAUUAGCUAGUUGGUGGGGUAAAGGCCUACCAAGGCGACGAUCUGUAGCGGGCCUGCGAGGAUGAUCCGCCACACUGGGACUGAGACACGGCCCAGACUCCUACGGGAGGCAGCAGUGGGGAAUAUUGGACAAUGGGCGGAAGCCUGAUCCAGCCAUGCCGCGUGUGUGAAGAAGGCCUUUUGGUUGUAAAGCACUUUAAGCGAGGAGGAGGCUACCUGGAUUAAUACUCUAGGAUAGUGGACGUUACUCGCAGAAUAAGCACCGGCUAACUCUGUGCCAGCCGCCGCAGUAAUAC